UACGGGGGGAGCAAGCGUUGUUCGGAUUUACUGGGCGUAAAGGGCGCGUAGGCGGCCACGACAAGUCACUUGUGAAAUCUCCGGGCUUAACUCGGAACGGUCAAGUGAUACUGUCGGGCUAGAGUGCAGAAGGGGCAACUGGAAUUCUCGGUGUAGCGGUGAAAUGCGUAGAUAUCGAGAGGAACACCUAUGGCGAAGGCAGCUCGCUGGGACGUUACUGACGCUGAGGAGCGAAAGCGUGGGGAGCGAACAGG
rnacentral:rRNA from 1 species